rnacentral:rRNA from 1 species
UACGGGGGGGGCAAGCGUUGUUCGGAAUUACUGGGCGUAAAGGGCUCGUAGGUGGCCAACUAAGUCAACCGUGAAAUCCCUCGGCUUAACCGGGGAACUGCGUUUGAUACUGGAUGGCUUGAGUUUGGGAGAGGGAUGCGGAAUUCCAGGUGUAGCGGUGAAAUGCGUAGAUAUCUGGAGGAACACCGGUGGCGAAGGCGGCAUCCUGGACCAAUACUGACGCUGAGGAGCGAAAGCCAGGGGAGCAAACGGG